AUUGGCCACUGUCCUGUAAGGAUCUAAGUGAAAGCCCUAACAUUUGGAAGAAAGUAGAGUUUUUUCAGGUCAAUUUAAUGGAAAACGACGAUCACAAAAAGUCGCUGGUAUGCUACAGCACAACAAUGAAUGAGACCAAUGUGGCUUUCCAAGAUCCUUCGGAUACAAGCAACCCAUUCAGCAGGGGAUCCCCGAAGCGAAUUGGAGGGGUUGGUGGAAGUCACCUGUUUACUUUUGUGUCCUACGACCAGGGCAGUAUCUGUAGCGACUUUCAUGUUUGUCUAAGAACUCGCUUACAUUGCCAGACCAGGUAAUAACUUGAUGAUGCUUCAGCUUGCACUUCAUUUGAAUUCUAUAUAUUAUUUUAUUCUAUGUUACUCGCCAAUACUCUUCUUCCAUCCUUUGGGUGAUCUGAGUGGCAUGCACAAUAAACAACAAUAAACAAUAAACAUUGAUAUGAUAAUGCGGCCAGAUUGGAAAAUUAUCACUUAUUUGCUCCCGGUGUGCUCAACAACUCCUUUCGCAUUUGAUUUGCCGGGCGCCUCGAACAACUAACCGGGUUCCGGACUGGUGUCAGAGGUCGUUUGCCAAUUUCUGGGAAAAGACAUGUGGCCCCGUUCUUCUCCACACCUGAUCAUGAUGGACUUUGCCGUAGAGGAAGGUGGGUCAAACGUACCACAACAACAAGGAGGCCUUGGAGGCCAGGAUCAACGAGGCGUGGGCCAACUUGUCCUCGGAUGUGGUCCAUGCCAGGUGCAAGACGUUCAGGAAGAAGCUGGAUGGAGUCAUUAAGGCUAAAGGAGGCUAUAUCGAAUAAAUCACGCCCAUUCUUAUGCAUUCAAGGUCGUCGAUUUUUUUGUAGAUGCGAUGAUACGAACUAUGCAACUACCUAUCGGAACAAUAUAAGGUGACGGCUAGCUUCUCUGGCCGGGCGAGGCUCAUCCCUCCCACCCUAGCACCCAAAAAAAUUCACUGCAUUUUGGUAUUUAAAUCAUACAAAGACUUAUGCGCCACCCUGUUUAUAACUAUGACAGAAAUAAAAAUGAACUCUUUCAUC